rnacentral:rRNA from 1 species
UACGGGGGGGGCAAGCGUUGUUCGGAAUUACUGGGCGUAAAGGGCGCGUAGGCGGUUCGCUAAGUUGGAUGUGAAAACUCUGGGCUCAACCCAGAGCCUGCAUCCAAAACUGGCGGGCUAGAGUUCUGGAGGGGGUAGCGGAAUUCCUGGUGUAGCGGUGAAAUGCGUAGAUAUCAGGAGGAACACCGGUGGCGAAGGCGGCUACCUGGACAGAAACUGACGCUGAGGCGCGAAAGCGUGGGGAUCAAACAGG